rnacentral:rRNA from 1 species
AGUGAACGCUGGCGGUAGGCCUAACACAUGCAAGUCGAACGGCAGCACAGUAAGAGCUUGCUCUUACGGGUGGCGAGUGGCGGACGGGUGAGGAAUACAUCGGAAUCUACUUUUUCGUGGGGGAUAACGUAGGGAAACUUACGCUAAUACCGCAUACGACCUACGGGUGAAAGCAGGGGAUCUCGGACCUUGCGCGAUUGAAUGAGCCGAUGUCGGAUUAGCUAGUUGGCGGGGUAAAGGCCCACCAAGGCGACGAUCCGUAGCUGGUCUGAGAGGAUGAUCAGCCACACUGGAACUGAGACACGGUCCAGACUCCUACGGGAGGCAGCAGUGGGGAAUAUUGGACAAUGGGCGCAAGCCUGAUCCAGCCAUACCGCGUGGGUGAAGAAGGCCUUCGGGUUGUAAAGCCCUUUUGUUGGGAAAGAAAAGCAGCAGGUUAACACCCCGCUGUUCUGACGGUACCCAAAGAAUAAGCACCGGCUAACUUCGUG